rnacentral:lncRNA from 10 species
GUUAGUUCCUAGCUCCAGCUAAUUGAAUGCUGUCAUCUAGGCCUUUGACUCUCAAGAGAGCGACAGUAAGAUACAAGAACAGUGGAGAAGUUUUUCUGGUAGCUAUGAAAAUGAGAACAUGAUGGAAUUAGUGCUGAGUACCAAGAAGCAGUGAUGUCCGUAAUGGAGUUCUCAGCAGCGACCUAAAGAAUCAGAUUUACCCAACUUCAGUUUAAGAUAGUUGGACACAAUGAUUACUUUUCCUGGAGGUGGGCGCAUAGGGGUAUUUAUUAUAGUUCACUGUGUAUCUUUGUGCAUUUUAAAUAUUCCAUAAUAAAGAAACUGCAAUUAAUAUGCAGUGUAGCCAGUAUAUGAAUCAAUGUGGUCUACAAACCAAAUGAUGAUACUGACAAACGUUUUGCCAACUUGGAAACCCUAGAAACUUCAUUUUAAAAGAUCUUCUCAUACAUAGGACAAAUCAUUUGUUUCCUUUUCCACAAAUGAAGAGGACAUAAAAGCAUGAUUACAUUGACAUGAUUUUAAAAAUCUGAGACUAGAGUAAAGAAUCACUCUCUCUGAAUUAACACUGUAGGCCUCUCCUUUAAAAAUGUGGGUGUUUUGACAAUGUAAUCAAGUUUAAUGUGGGUUUAAAUUUUAUUUUAAUUAGCCAGUAAGCAAGAAAAUUGUGUGUCUUGUUUGAAGACUGUUUAUGGGUAAAAUACAAUUUCAUAUUGUAUGGGUACAUUGCUAUAUAUCAUGGACAGAUGAGCUUUUAUAAUCAUUAAAAAGGAAA